UUAACCGGAUUAGAUACCCUGGUAGUCCAUGCCGUAAACGUUGGGCACUAGGUGUGGGGGACAUUCCACGUUUUCCGCGCCGUAGCUAACGCAUUAAGUGCCCCGCCUGGGGAGUACGGCCGCAAGGCUAAAACUCAAAGAAAUUGACGGGGGCCCGCACAAGCGGCGGAGCAUGCGGAUUAAUUCGAUGCAACGCGAAGAACCUUACCAAGGCUUGACAUGAACCGGAAAGGCGUAGAAAUACGUCCCCCACUUGUGGUCGGUUUACAGGUGGUGCAUGGUUGUCGUCAGCUCGUGUCGUGAGAUGUUGGGUUAAGUCCCGCAACGAGCGCAACCCUCGUUCUAUGUUGCCAGCACGUGAUGGUGGGGACUCAUAGGAGACUGCCGGGGUCAACUCGGAGGAAGGUGGGGAUGACG
rnacentral:rRNA from 1 species